rnacentral:lncRNA from 1 species
CUACUGCAGUUUCAUAUGCAAAGCAUGCAUCAGCCACAUCCAUGCUAUCUCCUAAAGCAGUCAUUCUGAAACCCAAUCUGGGGACAGUGCAGACUAAAUAAAAUUUCAUUUUGAUUUGGCCUCCCGCUGCGAAUGGGACUGCUUUGUCUCAGCCGACAGAACCAGCAAGCCAGAAAGGGAAUGAAGACAUUUGGAGAAGAAGCGUUUACUGAAAGGAGAUUCCUGGGCUGGAGGAAAACCAUGAUCUACAGUUCAUGUUGACAGAUAUUGUAUUUUUGGUCCUAGAUCUGACUUUUGAAAUGACUUAUCACAAAUUCAAAUUUAGCAAUCAUGAGUGAAGUACCCACGAUGUGCUAAGCAUCUACCUCUGCAGAUAGAAGAACACUUACUGUUCCUGAGCAUGGGAGGGAAUAGAAGUUCCUGGGUCCUGGCCUCACCUCAUCAGGCACUGCCAAAUUUGACACCUCCUUCCUGUUCACGGCAGUCCUUUGCGAUAGGGUAUUAGAUGCCACCAAGUAGCUGCAUAACUCACCCAUUUGGUCAGAGCCUGGGUCUAAGCCAGGUCUGACAGACUCCAAAGCAAGCCCUGUUUACAGCAUGACUGGGAUCCAGUGGACGAGGGAACUGAGCUGUCAAAACUAAGUGACUUGAUUGAGGCCAUGCAGCUGGCGAGGGGAGGACCAGGAUCUGAACCCAACUGGGUCUCCCAAGCCUGGGCCACUGAACCAUUUCACCUCUUGGAAAAACUUAAUGGUCAGAGUGGCCCACCCAGUCCAUGGACAGCAUGGAGGAUAAACUGCUUCCCUAGAAAUCCUCUCCAGCAUUCUUGCCACCACGACUUUGGGACACAUUGACCAUGAGGAGGAGCUGGUCAAUGAUGGACAGGAGUCCAGAUUAGCAGAGAUGUGGUAAUAAGGACACCGAUGCCUAAAUACUUGAAAUAUCCAAUAGGAAGCAUUCCACCUUUGUGCAAAUGCGAACCACAUCUCACCAAGUUCAGGCCAAGGCUGCCACCGGUGACGUUUUGGAAAAGAAAAAAAAAAGCGGGGGGAGAGGAGAGAAACAGAGAAGCAAGGAAUGCAGAAGAGAGCAGAGGCCACAAAAACAGCAGCAACGUGUCCUGUGUAUUCUGUUUCCUUGUAAAACUAUGAAGCAUGUUAAGGAGAUACUUCAUUUUUUGAGGAUUCAUACUCUUGUUUAUAUUAUAAUAAAAACAACCCAUGUUCUUUCUAAAAAUUUAGGCAAUGCCUUCGUGCACAUAAAAGUAAAACAAAAUCACCUGUAAUCCUACCACACGCAGAUCAGCACUUGCUAAUCUUUUCACAGGGAUCCUAAGAAUAUCCUAUUCUCUAUAGAAUAUAGUUGAUUUAUGUUACCUAAUAACUAACUGUUAACCAUUUUAAAAUUCUUCAGUUUUACAUUAUGCUAGAAAAAAGGAGCCGUCACUCUACGUGACAUUUCUGUAUAUUGGUUUAUUCAUUCAAUAAACAUUUUUUAAGUACCU